AGUCCACAAAACACAUGUAGACUGGUUGGGCGAACUCCCAUGCACCCUCCAGGUUCACCUGUGGCCGUUUAAUCCAACAGGGCUGAAGACUCUCAGUCUACAUUGUCUUCUUUGGCCACUGGGUAAUAAAUGCUCUGAGUUAUUUUACAUUCUAUUUUACUGAUUUUUUUUGUCAUUCUUUGCAGACUGGAGCAUUCAGUGUAACGUCUUCAAAGCUUUAGAGGAGGUGAAGGAGACGGCCUUGGAAAACCACAGGAUGCUGCGAGUCAUUCUGAUCCGACUUACAGCCACUGAUUCUCCUGAAGAGAAGGAUUCACUGGAUGAGCUCGACCUUCCAUCCUCCACCGCAGAAAAAUUAAAAGUCCUGAACCAAAAACUGGAGUCAGGAGCUGUUCAGAAAUAAAUACUGGAUCUCUGAGGGACCUGAUUGGCUGUCUACAACAUUUUAUCCAAAAUCCUCUCAAACCGCCAAGCAGAGCAGUAGAGCGAACGGGAUGGAGAGAGAAGUCUUUCUGCUCACCAGCACUUGGUGACUGAAUUUAAGGCUGUACCAAAGAACCAAAGGUCAGAUUCAGAACACCAAAACAGUUUUAAGAAGGCUCAACGUUGUCUGGUUUGUUUGUUGGUUUUUUUAUUAUUAUUAUUUUGUGCAUGUGUCAACGCUCAUGAAAUCAGUUAUGGCGUAAAUAUCUCUUUUAAAGUCAUAUUUUUAAGCAGUGGUUGUUUUUUAAAUGCACUUUGCCUUGAUUUAUUAUUAUUGUGAAUGUCUUUUCUGAAAACUCAUUUCACUAAAAUUGAUACCGCGCUAUUUCACUUUGUUAUAAG